AGAAUUGUCUCCAGUGCAAAUGAUCCUUUGUCAUCCCACUCCCUGAGAACACGCCAGUGUAGCUCUUGGAGGUGGGCUGCAUCAGCUUUCUUCCAGUCUGCAAUAACGACAUGAUAAAACUUAGCCGCACGUUUGAAAUCAAUGAUACAGUAUUUGAUGAUCAAGACAACAGGAACAGGAAUAUGGUGCAGUUUAUCAGGGCUCUGUACACUGCUCCGCAAAGACAGCUGGCCAACAUGUUUUCCAACUAUCUCUGCCCAUCAUCCACCUGCUCUGUGUUCAGUCAGAGCUGCAAAUGACCAUUUCUGAAUUGUCUCCAGUGCAAAUGAUCCUUUGUCAUCCCACUCCCUGAGAACACGCCAGUGUAGGUAAGAUGGAUGAUGUGGCAUCGAAUGUUAUGUUUAGUCUGUGUUUAACAGUGUAAAUAAUGUGUUUGAGGGUCGUAUAUGUAUGUUUAUAUGGAUAAAACAACCGCAUCAGCGUACUCGUGGCAGAAAUACAGUCGGGCUCGCGCAAGUGAAGGCCGCCAACGCCUGUCAAUGGAGAUCGAGGUGACAGAGGCCGCGCUAAUUAUAUCAAUAUAAUAUACAUAUAAAUAUGAUAUACAUAUAGAUUAACAUAACGUUUAUUUAGUGGGAGUUUACAGUUUGAUACAGUCCUGUGGGUUAAUUCAGUUUCAUAAUGUAAUGUCAAAUGUUAGAAAGUAUUUAAAUAAUAAGAGUAAUUUAAUACUGAAUAGUUAGUUACUGUAUUUAUUGUUUAUGCAGUAAGAGUUUAAUAACUACUAUUGAUCUGUGGUAAUGUACAUUGUUUUGUGGAGAAAUACAGUGACUUAUAGUGUCUGUUCAUUGCCAUUGUAUAUUUUUGUGUUUGAGUAUUUCUGUGUUUAUUGAUCACACAUUCAUGGUCACACUGCCAGCACUGAAACACUGUUCAGUCUCUUUUUAUUGUCUGUGUUUG